CUGAAAUCUCUUCUGCAUUACCAGUUUGAAAAAGUCUUUGUGGCAUGUUUUCCAAGCCACUGUGGUAGCACUAUUGUGACAUGCUGUCUGCAAUUACUCAAGUUUGCUUAAUCAAAGGUCCUUUUUUUUCUAUUUCUUCAUCCACAGACACAAAAGGACCAGGUGAGCUGUGCCUUUCACUAAUCCAAAAGGCUUCAUUUCUUCCUCUUUACUACAAAAUCAUGCAUUCUUUUGAGGGUUGCUGUCAGCUUCGGUGAAACGACUUAAUCAACUUCCCUAAUUUACUUCCUGAUAUCACUAUUUUGUUAGUGAAAGGUUUUGCAGAAGAAACCCUUGGGAACUGUCUCUUGGGGCACACCAGCUUCUGCACUGACAUAUCUUGGCUGGUAGUAGUGUGUUUGGCACGCUGUGAAGAUGAGCUCAAAAUGUUGUUUAUUAUGCAUUUUUAGGGAGGAAAUGUGCAUUCAUUGCACUAAGAGAUGAAGUGGAAAAAUAAUUGCAUUGGAACAGCUACAAAUGACAGGCAAGCAUCUACAAAGUAUGCCACUUUCAUAGCUGUUGUAGGGAAGCAGUGUAGGAUAAAGACCAACCAAGAAUGUCCUUGAAGGCACCCCUUCAAUCCUGGACAGACUUACCUGAAUCCAAAUCCUCUAGCGGUCACGGAAAGUGUUCCAUAUUUCAAAAAUGUGCGGAUCCGACCCCGGCUGAAGCUCCGCUUGCCCCCCGCUCUCCGCCCGCUUGCCCACCGCACCGCCCGAGGAUGUAUCAGAGCCCGGCGCGCUCCCUCUGCUCGGCCCUCUCCAGCCUCUGCUGCGCCCCAGCCGCCACGUCCUCCUCCUCCUCGCGGCUCCUGCGCUCCCCGGCGCCGGUCAAGAGAGACCUUUCUUCGCCCACCCGGCUGGCCUCCGCCUCCUCUUCCUCCGGCUCCCUCGCAGCGUUUGCGCAGCCGCAGCGACUUCUCUCGCAGUGAGUCGAGACCUGAGUGCGCUCACUUCCUUUUCCAGUCUGAGCGAACCUACCAUAAUAG
rnacentral:lncRNA from 1 species